UACGUAGGGGGCAAGCGUUGUCCGGAAUCAUUGGGCGUAAAGCGCGCGUAGGCGGCCCGGUAAGUCCGUUGUGAAAGUCAAAGGCUCAACCUUUGAACGCCGAUGGAUACUGCCGGGCUAGAGUCCGGAAGAGGCGAGUGGAAUUCCUGGUGUAGCGGUGGAAUGCGCAGAUAUCAGGAGGAACACCAACGGCGAAGGCAGCUCGCUGGGACGGUACUGACACUGAGGCGCGAAAGCCAGGGGAGCGAACGGG
rnacentral:rRNA from 1 species